UCUGGAGUUCAUAGUGUGCUGUUCGUCUUGGACCAGAUCUAGAACUGUUCUCAACAGUUUAUGUAGUCAUAAAUCCUAUUGUAUUCAUUGAAAUCUGUUGACUUUGUAUACCAUUCCAUUGUAAAUAAACGAUCUUAGCAUAGAUCCUUUGGAGUCUUGA